rnacentral:rRNA from 1 species
UACGAAGGGGGCGAGCGUUGUUCGGAAUCACUGGGCGUAAAGCGUGCGUAGGCGGUUAUAAAAGUUAGAAGUGAAAGCCCAGGGCUCAACCUUGGAAUUGCUUUUAAAACUAGAUAACUCGAAUCUCGGAGAGGAUAGCGGAAUUGUCAGUGUAGCAGUGAAAUGCGUAGAUAUUGACAGGGACACCAGUGGCGUAAGCGGCUAUCUGGACGAGUAUUGACGCUGAGGCACGAAAGCGUGGGGAUCAAACAGG